rnacentral:rRNA from 1 species
AUGAACUAUCUUGUUUGGAACUGUCGGGGCGUGGGAAACCGCCGGACAAUUCGUGACUUACUAGCCCUGGUUGCUAAUUCACCCCGACUCGUCUUUCUCUGUGAGACGAGACAGGCUGCUGUAAAAGUAGAGAAACUGCGAUGGAGACUUGGGCUCCGUGGCUUCCGAGGUGUUGAUUCAGUUGGGAAAGGAGGUGGACUUGGUCUGUUUUGGGAUGAGACGCUGCAGGUGACAGUUUUGGAGGCUUGUGCAAGAUUCAUAGAUGUACAGGUAUUUGAUCCGGGGAUAGAUAAACAAUGGCGGGUUACAUUUGUUUUUGGAGAACCUAGGGUCGAGAACAGAAGAAACAUGUGGAAUCACCUUACUAGGUUGUGA